CGAGUUGGCCGGGCGGCCGCGGACACCGGGUUCUCCCGGUGUUCGAGGAAAGUCCGGACUUCACAGAGCAGGGUGAUUGCCAACGGCAAUCCGAGGUGACUCGCGGGAAAGUGCCACAGAGAACAGACCGCCGCCGGCGGGUCCUAGGACUCGACGGGGGUAAGGGUGAAACGGUGCGGUAAGAGCGCACCAGCACCCCGGGUGACCGGGGUGGCUCGGCAAACCCCACCCGAAGCAAGGCCAAGAAGGCCGCGACCCGGUCGCGGCUGCGCAGGUGUCCGAGGGUUGCUCGCCCGAGCCUGCGGGUAGGCCGCUCGAGGCACCCGGUGACGGUGUGUCCAGAUGGAUGGUCGCCGCCCCGCCUCCCGGCGGGGAACAGAAUCCGGCUUACAGGCCAACUCGUCCG
rnacentral:RNase_P_RNA from 2 species